rnacentral:rRNA from 1 species
GCCCUUCGGGGGAAAGAUUUAUCGCCUUUAGAGCGGCCCGCGUCUGAUUAGCUAGUUGGUGAGGUAAAGGCUCACCAAGGCGACGAUCAGUAGCUGGUCUGAGAGGAUGAUCAGCCACAUUGGGACUGAGACACGGCCCAAACUCCUACGGGAGGCAGCAGUGGGGAAUCUUGCGCAAUGGGCGAAAGCCUGACGCAGCCAUGCCGCGUGAAUGAUGAAGGUCUUAGGAUUGUAAAAUUCUUUCACCGGGGACGAUAAUGACGGUACCCGGAGAAGAAGCCCCGGCUAACUUCGUGCCAGCAGCCGCGGUAAUACAKMR